CUAUCAAGCGGACAUAAUCUUCCGCGUGAGAAGAUUAAGGCAGAGGAAUGGGGCUGGGAGGUGAUUGCGGCCGGCUCCGACGCUGAAAACGGACGCUGGGCUGAAUGCACGUGGAAAUGGAAGAAUCACGGACCGCUGAGGAGCUCUGUUCACGGAGGCUGAUUGCUUGCUAAUCUGGAAGAGGCGGAUGAAUGGGCGUUGGGCUCGGCUGAGAGGAAGGCUGAGACGUGGAUCCGGAAGCAAGGGAUGCGGGUUCAUCAAAUCUGGGAGGUGGAUGGGACACGGAAGGAAGCUGACGUGUGGAGGCUUGGCAUGAAUCCCGAUCUUCUUCCAAUGGAUGCACAGAGACGCCCGGGAGCUGAUCGCGGAUGCUGGGAGAUCGUUGCAAGAGGAUCGUGGAUGCUGAUCUCGGGUACUGUGGGAGGAGUGGUCGGCGGGGUAGAACUGGGAUGCGGAUCCGGGAGCAAUGGACGCGGGAUGCUGGGACGCGAGUUCCGACUGUGAUGCUGGGAGGUGAUCGGGAUGCUGGGAAUGGAUCACGGAAGCUUUGAAACGUGGAUGGCUGAAAAUCUGGAUGGCUGGGAGACGCGUGAGGCGGAUGAAAUCUGGAUGAGGGGAUGCGGGAGAUCAGAUCACUGAUCCGCUGCGGGUUUUUGGAUCCUCUCGGAUGAUGAAACUAGGCCUUUAGCGGAUCCAUCUUGCGUUGCCUCCAAACGGCUGCCAAGUGUCGCUCGAGUGAAGUGUUGGUCAGAUUCAAUUAUGCUUCAGCAUGAUCAGGUUCGAAGUCGACCAAAUGCACAUUUAAACUCUGAUUUACGAUAAUCUGUGCCAAAUAAAAUAUAAAAUUAAUGCAGC
rnacentral:lncRNA from 1 species